AUUUUGAACGCAAGCACAUAUACUAAAAUUGAAACAAUACAGAGAAGAUUAGCAUGGCCCCUGCAUAAGUAUGACAUACAAAUUUGUGAAGCGUUCUAUAUAAAA